GAUGAACGCUAGCUACAGGCUUAACACAUGCAAGUCGAGGGGUAACGAGAGGAAAGCUUGCUUUCCUUGUCGACGACCGGCGCACGGGUGAGUAACGCGUAUCCAACCUGCCCCCAACUAGGGAAUAACCUUGCGAAAGUAAGACUAAUACCCUAUAAUUUCCUCAGAUGUCAUCUGACGAGGAAUAAAGAUUUAUCGGUUGUGGAUGGGGAUGCGUCUGAUUAGCUUGUUGGCGGGGUAACGGCCCACCAAGGCAACGAUCAGUAGGGGUUUUGGGAGGAAGGUCCCCCACAUUGGAACUGAGACACGGUCCAAACUCCUACGGGAGGCAGCAGUGAGGAAUAUUGGUCAAUGGGCGGAAGCCUGAACCAGCCAAGUAGCGUGCAGGAUGACGGCCCUAUGGGUUGUAAACUGCUUUUAUACAGGAAUAAAGUUAGCCACGUGUGGUUAUUUGUAGGUACUGUAUGAAUAAGGACCGGCUAAUUCCGUGCCAGCCGCCGCGGUAA
rnacentral:rRNA from 1 species